AUAAACUAACCCCUACAUGUGGCAAGAAGCCACAGAGCCUAGAAAGUGACUAAGUAGUCACAUAUCUAGGUGGCUACUUAAUAAUAACUUAAAGUCAUAGAAAGACUUAUACAAGCUCAUCCAAAACUCUUAUCUUUGGCCAAAAUGUUCCAUUCUAUUUUUGGUCACCAAACGUGAGAAUAGCAGAAACAUUUUCCUCUUUAGACUUGAAACCAAAAUAACGUUGGGGAGCUUUUGGUCUUAAUUGGAAAGGUUAAAGAAUUAAAAGUCUUGAUUCCAAGGAAAUUCUUUCAAAGAAGUGUAGAGCCAGAAACAUUCCAAUUCGAAGACAAAGGCUUCAACUGAAGCAAAUUCGUCCAACUCCAACAAAAUUCAAGCAAAGUUUCGUUCCAAUUUCAGAAGUAGAAGCUUCGUUUUCUCGUUCCAACAUAUUUCACGGAAGCAAAAACUUCACUUCGAUCAAAUAAUUUAAGGAACAUGUAUGUUAAGGCUAAACUCUUCCUUUAUUUUGGCAUGAUCUCAUCGUUACACAAGUUUGAAAACGAGUCACAAAGAAAAAUUUAUAUCCCGGAAUUUACGUAUAGUUUGCUAGUCUCGCAAGUUACGUAUAUUUUUCUAGCCCUGUAAGUUACAAUAUUCUCAUUAUCAGGAUUUCAUAUUCAAUUGAGUAUUUUUUUCUUCCAAUAAAGAGAGCAGAGAGUCUAUAUAUACAAUAUUACAGUAUUUUCAUUACCAUCGAGCUAUAAUCGAUGGUCAGGCCCCUAUUGGGCAACCUCUGAUCAGAUGGUAAGUUAUAUACCGAGCCUACUGUGGCCGAGCGCUUAUGAGCGAGCCCAGUUGGUCGAUACAUAGAGCCUAGUAUGGUCGAGUGCAUAUGAGUGAGCCUACUAUGCCAGAUCAGUUAUAUAUAUACCGAGCCUACUGUGGCCGAGUGCUUAUGAGCGAGCGCAGUUGGUCGAGAUACGGAGCCUAGUACGGCUGAACGCUUAUGAGCGAGCUUACUACAGCAGAGCAUAUAUAUAUAUAUAUAUAUAUAUAUAUAUAUAUGUAUACCGAGCCUUAUAAGGUCGGAUAGUUAUUUUAUUUACUAUAUUGAGGGAGCGAUUCAGUAUCAGCAAGUAAGCAUAUCUUCAGAUUAUCGUUGACUCUCAGUUACAUUCAAUUAUUAUAUUAUUAGUUCAGUUUUAGCUUUCAGUAUAUUACCUUACAUACUCGGUACAUUAUUUCGUACUGACAUCCCUUUUGCAUGGGGAUGCUGCAUUUCAUGUCGUAGGUCCUGAUAGACAGGUCGAGAGCCCUCCAAGUAGGCUAUCAGCUCAGCGGAAGAUGUUGGUGCGCUCAAUUUGCUUAGGAGUUGCGUGUUUGGUUAGUAUGAUUUAGACGUGUAUUGUUUGGUAUGGCGGGACUUUGUCCCGACCUUUAUGACAUUUAUGUACUCUUAGAGGCUUGUAGACAUAUGUCGUGUACGUGAAAGAUUGUACAUCCUUGUCGGCCUAUGUUUUGAAUUUAUAAAUAAUCAUGUUGGCCUAUUAGGCCCGUAUAUCACGUGUAUAUGAUGAUAUAAUAAGAAAUAUAUGUUACGGUAAUAUUCGAUUGAGUAGGUACCGAGUGCCCGUCGCGGCCCAUCAGUUUGGGUCAUGAUAGGAGGAAAUAGAGGAGUGGGAAUAGAGAUUCAAC
rnacentral:lncRNA from 1 species